UGCGCGUAUGUGCGCCCCUCUCUUGGCUACCCUCGUGGUCUUGGAUGCUAGUGCGGAUCAAGGCCGAGCUCCCCAGAGAACUGAGUUGGACCGUGCCCCACCCCUCCAGGAUUCCACGACCAACUCCUUUAUUCCCGUUGCCCCAAGUGACCAGCAUCAGCACCGUCAACUGCGCUCAGGAGUGAGUAUGGAUUGGGCCCCUUCCCCUUUUACUGCUUCACGCUGCUGUGUGCCAGGUUUCGCAAACAUGAUAUGUAUGUGUGCAGCCUUUCAUACCUCACCCACAGGAGUUCUGGGCUUUGCUUCUCAGCUGAUUUCCCAAAGAUGAAGAGGAAAUGUGUUUAUUCAUUUAAAUUGCUUCAUGUAAGGAUCCGCUCAGCUGAACACCUGGAUUGUAUUUUGAUAAUGUCCUGAUGUUGAUGUUGAGAGAGCUUGAUAAUUCAAUAACGAUGUAAUGCAUCCUAUUUUUUUAAAACAGAAACUUGGCUGGAUUUCGGCUAAGUAAACAGAAGAGGUUUCUUUUAAGAAAAUGGUAAAGGAACACAUUUGCAAAGUCACCAGAUGAGAGACCAGCACUCCUCCUGGCAGUUCUGUCCGCAUUUGGCACUUUUUAGGUCACCUCCAGAAUGACACAACGUCUCUGUGGGCCUCAUCCCAUCUGCUGUCUGUCAUGGCCUGGGGCCCAUCACUCCUAAGCCGCCCCUCCUGCCUUCCGGGCAGGCCUGGGCCUUCAGUGUGAGCAGCCCCCCCCCCCCCCCGGAGAAGCCACGCCUCCUGUAGCAUUUCCACAUGUCUCAGGAUAACAUAUCACCCCACGUCUCUGUCCAGCCAGCAGCUACAGGAGGAAACUGCCUGAUGUCGUCUGGGCCUACUCCAAAGCUGUCCUACAGCCAUGGUAGCUAGGAGAGAGCUGCUUUCAAAGCUGAAGGCAAGCAGACAAACAGCCUGAAACCUGUUAUUCACACCAGCAUCAGACUAUCAAAGACAGCCCCAUGGCCUCUUGUGGUCGCUGAGCUGAAGAUAUGUAACCAGUUGUCAGGGUAAAGACAGUUCCAUCCUGCCUGUUUCCAUGGUCCGUCUCUCACCUGGAAGCUCCCUGGAGAAGGCCAGUAGAGUGUGGGCAGCAGUGACAUUCAGUGAGGGGAGUCUCUAGAUCUGGUUUUCACUGGAAGACUCUGGUGGUUCCACAGCCCUUCCGGAGGCUUGCUGGUCAUGGUGCUGCCUCUCUGGCUUGCCAUGCUCCAGCUGAACAAUUUUGUGAGCAUUCUGGCAGCCUCUGUACCCGGAAAGUGCCUUUCUUGGACAGGGAACUAGAAAUACUAGCUCAUGGGAGCUUAGACCGGCCAAGACCAACUGCAGAUUUUGCAUAUGGAAGGCAAGGACCUUAAAAGCCAAAUUUUGAAAGAAAGCAAAAAGUGGUAGUCGAGGAAAGAGCCAAACACUGGAGGAAAAAAAGGAAUUUUUAAGCAGAGAAAGAAAACGUUGACCAAGACACGGAGGGAACCGUGAUGGUUCCGAGAGGGCGCUGAAAGCUGCUGGUUCUUGCUCAGGCCGAAAGCCCUUCACUGCAUUAUGAAGACAUCUUGGAUACGUCCAAUAGCGUAGGCAUCUUCUGUGUCCUUCGCUGGGUUUCAAGCAGAUACACAGAGGAGGAUGACUGGGGUGGGAGCUGUCCAGGUGUGAGCAUCUCCUAAUGCAAGGUCCGUAGGAAUCCUCGCACCAGAUUGAGCUGGGCAGCUGUCCUCACACAGUCGCGUGUCCUCGUGUGUCCCACAGUCCUAAUGUCCAGUGAAGGAAGGCGCUAGAUGGUCCUACAGACGGCGUGGACCACCCAUCGGAGGGGCUGGAGUUUCACACCAGCUCAGCUCAAGUGAAAGAGAGCAUAAUCUGUCUUCCAUCUGGUCCUCUUGGACCGCUUGGCCACACUGGAAAUAAACGGACAGUUUCGGGGUGGUUUGCCGGCCCGGGUUCCUGAAGGCAUGGGAAUUUGGAGUCCUCGCAGCCACGGCACAGACUGCCCUCAGUGCAACUCAUCAUUUCUCACCAGCUCUUCCCUGCAGGUCACCUGCCGACGGUGGCCUAUCCCAACGCCAAGCCAGUGGGGACAGAUGGCCCAAGAUGAUAAGACGACCUCAGAGCAGCCACAGCGUUAGGACUAGAACGCCCUGAUUUUACCGAUAAGGAAGCUGAAACCAGGCAGGAAGAAACCACUGCUUCUGGUUCACGCUCCGCUUCCCCGCUGGCUUUUCCCCUCCUCCACUUUCACGUGCAUGUGUACAUGUUCACAUGUGUGGGGGCACACGUGUGUGCACAGAAUGCGGAGGGCCAAGGCUGAUGUUGGGAAUCAUCUUUGAUUGCUCUCCCAUCUCAUUCACUAAGGCAGGGUCUGUCAGUCAAACCAGAGCUGGCCCCUAUGGCUUGCCCUGUUGGUCCCCCAUGCCCACCUCCUAAGGCUCGAAUUACCGGUGGGCGGCAGUGGCUACCUGGCUUCUACAUGGGUUCUCGGAUCCAAACUCAGGGUCUUAUACUCGCAGGGCAGGUGUUUCAACACAAAUCUCUCAGCCCAGUGAUUAUUUCUGAACUCCAAGGCUUAGCAGAAUACAUGGCCCAAGGAAGAUGCUCAGCGAUGUUUGAGAAAGGAGGGAAGAGGGGUAUGAAGGGAGGAGAAUGUGCUAAGCUCACUCCUGUGACUGUAUAGACCUCACCCCACCGCCUCUCCCCAGAGUGCCGACCCCUGUGCCUCUCACUGUUGCUCACUGUGGUCAGUGCUCUCAGGAGGUCAUGACCUGUUGUCCAGAAAACAUUACUGACACCAUCAGACCCGAAAGCAUCAUCAAUAGAAUACUGGGACAGCACUUGGGUGGCUCCCUGGUCCAUCUGAACAGCAUCAGGGAAGCCAAGAAGGUAUUUGGCUUACAUCCUUGCUAAGGGGCUGUGGCAGGGUACCCAUUUAGGCUAGGGUUUGUGUUUGAAUAGGACUCAGGAAUAAGACAUCACCUCCACUCCCAGAGAGAAGAGUCUAGGAGAGUUGAGUGUAAGUUUCCAUAGGACACACGCAGAAUGGAACUUAACGGACUAUCCAGCAAGGCACCCAUGUGAAUCGGUAGGAUCCUUGGAAAAUCAACAAGGCAGGGCCUGAGAAACAGGCUGAGAGAGAGCAGAGGGGGCCUGCUCCAGCUCAGACACUGUCAGAGGCAGAGAAAGAUUAGAUGCAGGAUCUGGGCUGCUCAUGAGACACAGCAGUGGUGAGUUUAGCAAGUCACCAAGGCAACAGAGCUCACCUGUAGAUUCUACAGGGUGGCAAUAGCCUCACCCCUGACCUAUGGGGAUUGGAGAGUGAGGUGGGGACUAUUAAGGGAACUGAGUCCAGCUGAACUAUUUUUUAUUGUCUCAGGCCCCCCAACUCCACAUUCCGCCAGCCUUGGGAAUCCAUCGCUGCCCUUCACUUUAAGGAUGGCUGGGGAUCAGAGUGGCAUGUGACCCUCUUCUCGGCCUCAAAGCCCUAUCGGUGAUGUGACCUUCUCCAACAUCCAGACACUGUGUCUUCUGUCCCAGGGGUGCUGCUGGAUCCACUCCUUGCUCACACCCCGAGAGUUUUAUGACCUUCUUGGGAAGUUAGGCACAUUUGAGAGGCAUGGCAGAGAACACUCAGGCAGCCAUGGUCUCAGGCCCACCUGAGCAUGGAGCCUGGGUAGCCCAUGGAAGAUGCUUAAUGGAUGUUCAGGAAGGAGGGAAGGGAGGCAUGGAGAGAGAGGAGACUUGCCAAGGUCAAAACAGUGGUUGUGUAGAGUCGGGCCUCACUCCACAGCCUCCACAGGCAUGCUCACAAAUCUUUAUUCACACACUCGCUGGCCUCUUAGAGGAGCUAAGGACCUGAGCAUUCCAUACUGGGAUGAGGGUUUGGAGUGAUCAGGACAAGCUCACAAAGGACUCCACACCAAGACAGACGGGCAGAACAUUGUUGUCUCAGAGUCACAGGUUAAAGUCAGUGGUGAUCAAGGUUUGUUCUUUGUUUUGUUUUGUUUCUGAGACAGAGUUUCUCUGUGUAGUCCUGGCUGUCCUGAAAUUUGCUCUGUAGCCCAGGCUGGCCUCGAACUCACAGAGAUCUUCCUGCCUCUGCCUCCCUGAGUCCUGGAAUUAAAGGUGCGCGCCACCAUACCCAGCUCAAGGUUUGUUUUGUAAUCAGGAGAACGAAUCACCGUUAGAGACCAUGUUAGAUUACACAAACCUGCUAGACAGAGCUACCGUGUCCUCUCAGCUGUUUCCUAGUUUGCUUUGCUUUCUACUGCAGGGAGAAACACCACGACCAAAAGCAACUUUGUGAGCAACGGGAAAGGCUCACAUGUCUAUGUCACAGUCCAUCACUGAGUGAAGUCAGGAACCUAUAGGUUCCUGAAGCAGAGAUCACGGAAGGAUGCUGCCUACUGGCUUCCUCCCCUACAGCCUUCUCAGCUUGUUGUCUUAUACAACCCAGGACCACCUGCCCAGGAUGGCACUGUCCACAGUCAGUGGGGCCUUCCUACAUCAAUCCUUAAUGAAGAAAAUGCCCCCACAGACAUGCACACAGGCCGAUACAAUGGAGGCAGUUCCUCAACUGAGGUUCCCUCUUCCUAAGGAACUCUAGUUUGUGACAAAAACUAUCACAUCCCUCUUACCCAAGUGUCAUCCCCACCCUAAUCUCCAAAAUGGCUGGAGCAGUGGAGCAAUACUAAUUCAUUUCCCAUAAUGGAGAAGCGGGGAAACUGAGGUACAAAGAACUCAAAGGAUUAUCUCAAGCUCAUUUGCUAUUGGGACCAGAGACAUAAGAAUUGAGAUGCCUCCUCUCCCAAGCUCAGGGCUUGUCUACUAGUUCUAGGCCAGUCUGGAGAUUCCCAGGAGCCCUGGGUGUGUCUGGGCAAAGGCAUGCUUCAGUCUGGCAUUUCAAUCUGGCAGUCCAGCCAGAGCAAACAUCUCCUGGUGUUAUAAUCCCUUCAGUGAGAAAACUAGGUUUGAAUCACUUGAGAUGUUAUCUCCAGCAAAGCAGGAAAGGUAUCCUGGUGGUCGGGAUCCAAGGAAUACCACAAAGUCACACCACACAACAAACCUCACACAAGAGAUUUAUUGGGAAAGAUACAGGGAGGUGGCUGCCUCUGCUUGGGAGAGAAGCAGCAGAGAACUGAGCAAGAGGCAUGUUUUAUUUAUGUUUUCUGGGGGGUGGACUUUUCCAGGGUAGAGAUUUCCAGGGUGGGGAUUGGUGGGAUUUCAAGUCCUGGAAUUGAGUUUGGACUUUUUACCCUACAAUAGGACCCAGAAAACCAUUAGGGACUGUGGUUUGGUCUAAGGAGGUAAAGAUUUAGUAGCUGCAUGGACUGUCAGUGAAGACAUUUAUGCUUGCUGGACUUCUGGUCAUUUAUGCAUUGGCCUAGUGGUAUGACUUUGGUAACUUGAAGAAAAAGCCUGUUCUUUCCUCACAGACACUUUAGAGAGCUGACCAACAUUAGAAGCUAACACGGCUUUCUGACUGUCUUCUCUGGCUCUGUCUUGGUUAGGACUCUUUCUACCAGGCCUUUGCUGGGUCUCAUGACAAAUUUUCCUCUCAAUGGCUUUGUGGCUGACAUGGCUAGCUCGGGCUUGGGAUGACAUGAAACAUCUAAGAUGGACAGCAUAUACACUCGCUUGUUCAUUACUUAGUUAUUAACCCCACCCCCCCCAUACAACCAAGGUAAGAAAUGCUUUUAAGAGAAAAGCCGCUCCCUGAUGAUAGUCAAACCACCCUUCAUUGUAUAGCAGUUUCCUCCAGGGUUAAAACCUUCCGUCCUGAAGAAAAGCUUCUUGAGACACAGGAUGUAAAGGGAAAGUAAAAUAAAUAAAUAAAUAAAUAAAAAGCAGGAGAGGGGGAUAUUUGGGGAUGAAAUAUUUUAGAAGGAGGUAAAACAACAGAAUGUUCUAGGGGGAAGUGAAACACUCCACCCUGCGGGAAAGUUUCAUUAAGACAGGAAGAGAACAACUCAUAAUAGCCUAAGGAAGUUCCUGAAACUGACCAGAUUCACUAGGCCCCUCCCUCCCCUAGAGUAAACAGUAAAGACUGCUGAGAGUCACUCCCAGACAAGCUAAGCUGCAAAGAUGAAGAAGGGACCAGCCACACUGCCUAGAAGAAACUAAGACCUGCAGAGCUGACUGGAAGAGGUUUAGACCAACCGAGGCACCUGGAAAGGACACUCUUCCACCUGUUGAGCUGCCUGUAGGCUGUGCAGUGUGCUCCAGAUUCCCAGUGUCUGUGAGCUGUCAUUCAUGCUGGGCUUUGGGGAUGCAACUGUCUUUGAGUCAUUUCUGCUCCUGUAAGUGACCCCUCACCCAUAUUCCUGUAGGUAACCCCAGUAAUGCUCAUGGGUUCACUAAGGUGGACUCUGGUGGUAUCUGUACUUUGUUCUGUUACGGGUUUCCUAUCUGGGGUGAAUGGACGUGUGUGUUAUCUCUCUCCUGCAGCACCCCUCCACAAUCACCCGGCACAGCUGCUCUGUUACGCUCUGCUCCCCCAGCACCAUUUACCCAUUUGCCGUAUUUUACAGUUUGCCAAAGACUUUUUGACUGUAUAUUCUCACUUGAUCCUCACAAAAAUGCUGUGGAGCAGGCCAGGCAAGCAUGACCAGAGCGGCAGGAGUCAUGUUCCAUGAUGUUGCUAGUUAACAUUUAUUGAACAAAUAUUGAUUCCUAUGUAUUUAUAGGUGGUAUCUAGUCAGAUUUGCUGAUGUGGUUCCCAGGACUCUUUCAGACCACACCAGGUGCUCUCUCCUAAGGCUAGAAAUGAAAAUGACUUUUCCAUUGGACAUAGGUUAAGAGACUUAAUAUGGUGUAGGCAAUGCACAGCAACUUGGUAGAUCCUAAUGGGUCAUGCUUCAUCUGAAUAACGAAUCAGAGGCUCUCAUACUUGCAGCACAAAGACACACUUGGAGAGGAAUCAUUUAUUGAGAUGAUCAGUGGCUUUUAAACAUUUUAAGACCAUUCUUAAGUUCGACUCUGGCUCAGUCAGUAGCUCAGUGGUAGAAUACUUGCUGGGCAUAUGCUAGGCCCUGGGUUCAAUCCCAGCCCUAAGUAAAACAGAGAAGAUCAAGUCUUACCAAGCAGCUUGGUGCAGAGAACCCAAAACCUUGCUUAUUUUUUCUUAGAUAAUUUCUACAAUGACCGGGUAAUUUAUGAAUUUAUUUCCAACAGUCUUGGAGACUUGAGGCCACAUCUGUUAAGAAUCUUCUUGUGAUGGGGAGUUGAUGGGGAGUCUACAGAAUUCCCAAGAUAGUACAGGGAUCACCUGGCUACUGCAGUGGCCUAGCUCAGGCCUCCUCUGAUCAACAUGACUUGGGGAUAUUCAAGUCAUGGCAGGGUCUUCAGAGAAACCCUUUAUUUAUUGAUGAGGAAACGGGCCCAGAGGCCCAGGGAGAGGCCACGUGGAGAUCGGGUACCUGAGCAGAAGCUGGGGCCACAACCAAUGUAAUCAGUGUAUUCCCAUCAUGGUCCCUUAUCAAGAACGGGUUGAACUUCCCAGGUCAUCUUUAGAGCAUGCACCUCCCCACUUCCUUUCUGCUUUCGAACCCCAUCCUGCCAUUUCUUCGGCCUUUCUCAAGCUGGUCCCUCCUUUCAGAAAGCAUUUCCACCUGUGAACUUCGAGACCUAGGUCAAAGUGUCUCCUCUCCCCAGGGAGCUCUCUGGAUCCCAGCCAGGGAGACCUUACAUUUGAGUCCCCUCAGAUCUGCUGGGGAGAGUCAGGAUGCUCUGCUUUGCCUUAGUCCCGCCCCCAAAGGCCAGCCCUCCUUAAGAGGCCACAGAACUGAAAGCAGAUCUUCCAACUCUGAUGUACGCUUCAAAAAGCAUCAUUCAAAAUUGUCAUCCCGGGUAGCACGCACGUACGUGUGCGUAUUCGAAACAAAUCUGGCUAUGUAGCCCGGCCUGGCUUUGAAUUCAGUCCUCCAGCCUCUGUCUCCUGAGGCAGUACUACCUCAGCUUUGUUAAUGGGAUCGCCCUGUGGAAUCAGCCUCAGUACUACAGUCCUCAAGCCCUGGCUAGAUUACGUACGGUAGAGCUGUUUAAAAUGAUAGGAGCAGUUGCUCUGGGCUGUCUCCUUCAUAGCCUCAACAGAGCAGGCUAACACUCAAAAUGGACUCAUCCAGUGAUGAAGUCCACUGAGCUUUCUAUCUGACCUGAGACAUCAAGAUUGGACACACUGCGCUCAAAUUUCCUGAAUGUGCCAGUUGGAAGUGCAGAGGAAUUAAGCUCUUCUACCUUAAUCCUUCCACGGAUCGCUAAAGAGCCACUUGCCAAUCAAUUGUUUUUAUAUUUCUCAGUCUACCUGUCCUCACUGUAUAAAAAAAGCAACUUGGAAAAUGACCGAUCUAUAUUUUGGUUUUGUUUUCUUCAGCGAUUUUGUGUCUAUAAAACCAACUCCUUCAGUUUGGCUUAUUGGAAUACUUGAUUCUGUUUCAUGCGAUCAAAAUAUUGCUAGAUUCUAAAAUUGAAAAUAAAGCCAAUUAAGAUUGUUA